UUAGAUGUUCUGGGCCGCACGCGCGCUACACUGACAGAGCCAACGAGUUAUUCACCUUGGCCGGAAGGUCUGGGUAAUCUUGUUAAACUCUGUCGUGCUGGGGAUAGAGCAUUGCAAUUAUUGCUCUUCAACGAGGAAUGCCUAGUAAGCGCAUGUCAUCAGCAUGCGUUGAUUACGUCCCUGCCCUUUGUACACACCGCCCGU
rnacentral:rRNA from 1 species